AACGAACGCUGGCGGCAGGCCUAACACAUGCAAGUCGAGCGAAGCCUUCGGGCUUAGCGGCGGACGGGUGAGUAACGCGUGGGAACGUGCCCUUUGCUACGGAAUAGCCCCGGGAAACUGGGAGUAGUACCGUAUGUGCCCUUCGGGGGAAAGAUUUAUAGGCAAAGGAUCGGCCCGCGUUGGAUUAGGUAGUUGGUGGGGUAAUGGCCUACCAAGCCGACGAUCCAUAGCUGGUUUGAGAGGAUGAUCAGCCACACUGGGACUGAGACACGGCCCAGACUCCUACGGGAGGCAGCAGUGGGGAAUCUUAGACAAUGGGGGAAACCCUGAUCUAGCCAUGCCGCGUGAUCGAUGAAGGCCUUAGGGUUGUAAAGAUCUUUCAGUGGGGAAGAUAAUGACUGUACCCACAGAAUAAGCCCCGGCUAACUUCGUGCCAGCCGCCGCAGUAACAC
rnacentral:rRNA from 1 species